GAUGAAGAACGUAGCGAAAUGCGAUACUUGGUGUGAAUUGCAGAAUCCCGUGAACCAUCGAGUCUUUGAACGCAAGUUGCGCCCGAAGCCAUCAGGUUGAGGGCACGUCUGCCUGGGCGUCACAUAUCGUUGCCCAAUGCCUAUUGCAGUGCAAUAGGAAUUUCUAGGGCGAAUGAUGGCUUCCCGUGAGCGUUGUUGCCUCGCGGUUGGUUGAAAAUCGAGUCCUUGGUAGGGUGUGCCAUGGUAGAUGGUGGUCGAGUUAGAACGAUACCGAUCAUGUGCAUGCUCCCCAAAAUAUGGCCUCUAUGACCCACACGCGUCUUUUGACGCUCAUGACGAGACCUCAGGUCAGGCGGGGCUACCCGCUGAAUUUAAGCAUAUCAAUAAGGGAGGA
rnacentral:misc_RNA from 1 species